CCCAGACUCCUACGGGAGGCAGUAGUGGGGAAUAUUGCACAAUGGGGGGAACCCUGAUGCAGCGACGCCGCGUGGGUGAAGGAGCACCUCGGUGCGUAAAGCCCUAUCGGCAGGGAAGAAACAGACGGUACCUGACUAAGAAGCCCCGGCUAACUACGUGCCAGCAGCCGCGGUAAUACGUAGGGGGCAAGCGUUAUCCGGAUUUACUGGGUGUAAAGGGGGCGCAGACGGCAGCGCAAGCCAGGAGUGAAAGCCCGGGGCCCAACCCCGGGACUGCUCUUGGAACUGCGCGGCUGGAGUGCAGGAGGGGCAGGCGGAAUUCCUGGUGUAGCGGUGAAAUGCGUAGAUAUUAGGAGGAACACCAGUGGCGAAGGCGGCCUGCUGGGCUUUUACUGACGCUGAGGCUCGAAAGUGUGGGGAGCAAACAGGAUUAGAUACCCUAGUA
rnacentral:rRNA from 1 species